rnacentral:lncRNA from 1 species
UUUUGUUGUUGUUAAUCUCCAUGGUACUAUUUUUGUGUUAAUUCUAGGGUCACCCAAUGGAAAACCACAUGGGUACAGCUGAACCUUCACAAUGAUAUAAUAAACAUAAAGUGACCCAGAGGUUCAGGAGAGCAAGCAAAUAUGAAGGAAAAGUCAAGGAAAUGGUUCCCUCACCCCAGCCUGGUCCAGUGCCAUUCCUGAGAGGAUGAAAUUUGUGUAUAAAGAGGAACAUCUGUUCAAGAAGCACUGCUCUGAAGGUACUGUUCUGGACCCCUGGAAGAUAUCACUGAACAAAGUGGACCAAGGAACUCCUCUAUGUUAAC